rnacentral:rRNA from 1 species
GGGUGCGAUCAUACCAGCACUAAUGCACCGUAUCCCAUCAGAACUUCAAAGUUAAGCGUGCUUGGGCGACAGUAGUACUAGGAUGGGUGACCUCCUGGGAAGUCCUCGUGUUGCAUUCC